rnacentral:rRNA from 1 species
UACGUAGGGUCCAAGCGUUAAUCGGAAUUACUGGGCGUAAAGCGUGCGCAGGCGGUUCUGAAAGUCAGCUGUGAAAGCCCCGGGCUUAACCUGGGAAUUGCGGUUGAAACUACAGGGCUAGAAUCUGGCAGAGGGGGGUGGAAUUCCACGUGUAGCAGUGAAAUGCGUAGAGAUGUGGAGGAACACCGAUGGCGAAGGCAGCCCCCUGGGUCAACACUGACGCUCAUGCACGAAAGCGUGGGGAGCAAACAGG